GCAGUAGCCGCGGGAAUACCGAGGGUGCGAGCGUUAAUCGGAUUUACUGGGCGUAAAGCGUGCGUAGGCGGCUUCUUAAGUCGGAUGUGAAAUCCCUGAGCUUAACUUAGGAAUUGCAUUCGAUACUGGGAAGCUAGAGUAUGGGAGAGGAUGGUAGAAUUCCAGGUGUAGCGGUGAAAUGCGUAGAGAUCUGGAGGAAUACCGAUGGCGAAGGCAGCCAUCUGGCCUAAUACUGACGCUGAGGUACGAAAGCAUGGGGAGCAAACAGGAUUAGAUACCCCCGUAGUCCCUGUCUCUUAUAC
rnacentral:rRNA from 1 species